GACGACUCUGACGAUGAUGGGCGUGAUGUCGAUCUCGAUGUUCCUCGGCAUCACCUGGCUCGCGGACCAGACCAACGUUGUGUUCACGGAGGAGUCUGAACGUACGGUCGUCGCGCAAAUCGCGCACGCGGUUUUCGGCGGAGGAUUCAUGUUCUAUGUCUUGCAGAUCAUGACCGCCGGGAUCCUCAUCCUGGCCGCCAACACU
rnacentral:misc_RNA from 1 species